rnacentral:misc_RNA from 1 species
GAUGAAGAACGCAGCGAAAUGCGAUAAGUAAUGUGAAUUGCAGAAUUCAGUGAAUCAUCGAAUCUUUGAACGCAUCUUGCGCUCCUUGGUAUUCCUUGGAGCAUGCCUGUUUGAGUAUCAUGAGCAAAUCUCAAAGUCAAUUCCUUUUGAUGAUUCAAUUGGUUUUGCUUUGGACUUGGAGGCCUUGCAGAUUUCACAGUCUGCUCCUCUUAAAUGCAUUAGCUGGAUCUCAGUAAUUAUGCUUGGUUCCACUCGGCGUGAUAAGUAUCACUCGCUGAGGACACUGUUAAAAAGGUGGCCAGGAAAAUACUGAUUGAACCGCUUCUAACGGUCUAUUAAGUUAGACAAUUACCCUUAAGUUUGAUCUCAAAUCAGGUAGGACUACCCGCUGAACUUAAGCAUAUCAAUAAGCGGAGGA